AAUAGAUACCCGGGUAGUCCACGCCGUAAACGAUGAGUGCUAAGUGUUGGGGGGUUUCCGCCCCUCAGUGCUGCAGCUAACGCAUUAAGCACUCCGCCUGGGGAGUACGGUCGCAAGACUGAAACUCAAAGGAAUUGACGGGGGCCCGCACAAGCGGUGGAGCAUGUGGUUUAAUUCGAAGCAACGCGAAGAACCUUACCAGGUCUUGACAUCCCGGUGACCACUAUGGAGACAUAGUUUCCCCUUCGGGGGCAACGGUGACAGGUGGUGCAUGGUUGUCGUCAGCUCGUGUCGUGAGAUGUUGGGUUAAGUCCCGCAACGAGCGCAACCCUUAUUCUUAGUUGCCAUCAUUCAGUUGGGCACUCUAAGGAGACUGCCGGUGAUAAACCGGAGGAAGGUGGGGAGUGACGUCAAAUCAUCAUGCCCCUUAUGACCUGGGCUACACACGUGCUACAAUGGACGGUACAAACGGUUGCCAACCCGCGAGGGGAGCUAAUCCGAUAAAACCGUUCUCAGUUCGGAUUGUAGGCUGCAACUCGCCUACA
rnacentral:rRNA from 1 species